UGAAGUUCAGGUAACACUGAAUGGAGGACCGAACCGACUUACGUUGAAAAGUGAGCGGAUGAACUGAGGGUAGCGGAGAAAUUCCAAUCGAACCUGGAGAUAGCUGGUUCUCUCCGAAAUAGCUUUAGGGCUAGCCUCAAGUGAUGAUUAUUGGAGGUAGAGCACUGUUUGGACGAGGGGCCCCUCUCGGGUUACCGAAUUCAGACAAACUCCGAAUGCCAAUUAAUUUAACUUGGGAGUCAGAACAUGGGUGAUAAGGUCCGUGUUCGAAAGGGAAACAGCCCAGACCACCAGCUAAGGUCCCAAAAUAUAUGUUAAGUGGAAAAGGAUGUGGCGUUGCCCAGACAACUAGGAUGUUGGCUUAGAAGCAGCCAUCAUUUAAAGAGUGCGUAAUAGCUCACUAGUCGAGUGACACUGCGCCGAAAAUGUACCGGGGCUAAACAU
rnacentral:rRNA from 1 species